GAGUUAAGUGCUCAGAAUCCUCUAGUGACUUGAAUAGAAUUGUGAGCCAUUGACGACCAUCCUUUCCCGGGCCCAGAAUUGGAGAUCAGAGAGUAAUGUCUUGGUAGUGAGCUGUUGCCGUGUUUAUAAGUGGUGUCCCUGGCUCUGUCUGCUGCUAAUGGUGAGGAAACUGAGACACUGAAAUGCGGGAUCCAAGAGCUACGCAGCAGAACCACAGCUGAGGCAUAGCUGGUGAGUGAUGAUCAGCUACCUUCUCUCUGCGCCUUCCUACCUGGACCCCUUCCUGGACCUCUGGGUUGGUUCACACUUCUCCUUCUUCUGAUCUUACCAUGGCAGAAGUUACUCCUCUCUUAAGGCAGAGCUUGUGUUACGUGCAGCACUGAGGUGAAAGCCCUUCGUUCAUCAAUAUCAAAGCAGGGACGAAAGUCAAGUGACGCGAAUUCUUUCUCAUCUAAGUUCUGAGGCAGCAUCUUUUUUUGCCUGUGUCAAAAGAAGUGACUAGCAUCACAUUCCACGGCCAUUGUUUGUUGACCUUUUGA